GAAAAAAAAUUAAUUGAAGCUGCUAACUUUGAUUAGGGGAAUAUCUCCUUUUUUCU
rnacentral:tRNA from 1 species